AUCUAGAUUAGAGUUUGAUCCUGGCUCAGAUUGAACGCUGGCGGCAUGCUUUACACAUGCAAGUCGAACGGCAGCGCGGGGCAACCUGGCGGCGAGUGGCGAACGGGUGAGUAAUAUACCGGAACGUACCCAAGAGUGGGGGAUAACGUAGCGAAAGUUACGCUAAUACCGCAUACGAUCCAAGGAUGAAAGCAGGGGACCGCAAGGCCUUGUGCUCCUGGAGCGGCCGAUAUCUGAUUAGCUAGUUGGUGAGGUAAUGGCUCACCAAGGCGACGAUCAGUAUCUGGUCUGAGAGGACGACCAGCCACACUGGAACUGAGACACGGUCCAGACUCCUACGGGAGGCAGCAGUGGGGAAUUUUGGACAAUGGGCGAAAGCCUGAUCCAGCAAUGCCGCGUGAGUGAAGAAGGCCUUCGGGUUGUAAAGCUCUUUUGUCAGGGAAGAAACGGCGUCGGCUAAUAUCCGGCGCUAAUGACGGUACCUGAAGAAUAAGCACCGGCUAACUACGUGCCAGCAGCCGCCGUAAUACGUAGGGUGCAAGCGUUAAUCGGAAUUACUGGGCGUAAAGCGUGCGCAGGCGGUUUUGUAAGUCUGUCGUGAAAUCCCCGGGCUUAACCUGGGAAUUGCGAUGGAGACUGCAAGGCUAGAAUCUGGCAGAGGGGGGUAGAAUUUCACGUGUAGCAGUGAAAUGCGUAGAGAUGUGGAGGAACACCGAUGGCGAAGGCAGCCCCCUGGGUCAAGAUUGACGCUCAUGCACGAAAGCGUGGGGAGCAAACAGGAUUAGAUACCCUGGUAGUCCACGCCCCAAACGAUGUCUACUAGUUGUCGGGUCUUAAUUGACUUGGUAACGCAGCUAACGCGUGAAGUAGACCGCCUGGGGAGUACGGUCGCAAGAUUAAAACUCAAAGGAAUUGACGGGGACCCGCACAGCGGUGGAUGAUGUGGAUUAAUUCGAUGCAACGCGAAAAUCUUACC
rnacentral:rRNA from 1 species